UACGGAGGGUGCAAGCGUUAUCCGGAUUCACUGGGUUUAAAGGGUGCGUAGGCGGGUAGAUAAGUCAGUGGUGAAAUCUCCGAGCUUAACUCGGAAACUGCCAUUGAUACUAUUUAUCUUGAAUAUUGUGGAGGUAAGCGGAAUAUGUCAUGUAGCGGUGAAAUGCUUAGAUAUGACAUAGAACACCAAUUGCGAAGGCAGCUUACUACACAACGAUUGACGCUGAGGCACGAAAGCGUGGGGAUCAAACAGG
rnacentral:rRNA from 1 species